CAGUAGCCGCGGGAAUACGUAGGGUGCAAGCGUUAAUCGGAAUUACUGAGCGUAAAGCGUGCGCAGGCGGUUUGUUAAGACAGAUGUGAAAUCCCCGGGCUUAACCUGGGAACUGCAUUUGUGACUGGCAAGCUAGAGUAUGGCAGAGGGGGGUGGAAUUCCGCGUGUAGCAGUGAAAUGCGUAGAUAUGCGGAGGAACACCGAUGGCGAAGGCAGCCCCCUGGGCCAAUACUGACGCUCAUGCACGAAAGCGUGGGGAGCAAACAGGAUUAGAUACCCCAGUAGUCCCUGUCUCUUAUAC
rnacentral:rRNA from 1 species